rnacentral:rRNA from 1 species
GACGAACGCUGGCGGCGUGCCUAAUACAUGCAAGUCGAACGCAGUGGGGACGGGUGAGUAACACGUGGGUAACCUCCCAUCAGAGGGGAUAACACUUGGAAACAGGUGCUAAACCGAUACUGAUGGAUGGACCCGCGGUGCAUUAGCUAGUUGGUGAGGUAACGGCUCACCAAGGCCACGAUGCAUAGCCGGCCGGGGAGGGUGAACGGCCACACGGGGACUGAGGAAAGGACCAGACGCCUACGGGAGGGAGCAGUAGGGAAUCUGUGGCAAUGGGCGGAAGGCUGACCGAGGAACGCCGCGGGAGUGGAGAAGGUUUUCGGAUCGUAAAACCCUGUUGUUAGAGAAGCGGUAACUAACCAGAAAGGGACGGCUAACUACGUGCCAGCCGCCGCGGUAAUAC